rnacentral:rRNA from 1 species
CCUACGGGUGGCAGCAGUGAGGAAUAUUGGUCAAUGGACGAGAGUCUGAACCAGCCAAGUAGCGUGAAGGAUGACUGCCCUAUGGGUUGUAAACUUCUUUUAUAUGGGAAUAAAAUGUUCCACGUGUGGGAUUUUGUAUGUACCAUAUGAAUAAGGAUCUGCUAACUCCGUGCCAGCAGCCGCGUUACUACGGAGGAUCCGAGCGUUAUCCGGAUUUAUUGGGUUGAAAGGGAGCGUAGGUGGAUUGUUAAGUCAGUUGGGAAAGUUUGCGGCGCAACCGUAAAAUUGCAGUUGAAACUGGCAGUCUUGAGUACAGUAGAGGUGGGCGGAAUUCGUGGUGUAGCGGUGAAAGGCUUAGAUAUCACGAAGAACGCCGAUUGCGAAGGCAGUUCACUGGACUGCAACUGACACUGAGGCUCGAAAGUGUGGGUAUCAAACAGGAGUAGAUACCCGUGUAGUC